GCCCCCUUUGUCUAAUGGUUAUGACGUCAGACUUCUACUGUGAAUUGAUUUUCUAGUGGGAAUAAUCUGGAGGUUGCGAGUUCGAGUCUCGCAGGGGGUU